UACGUAGGUGGCAAGCGUUGUCCGGAAUUAUUGGGCGUAAAGCGCGCGCAGGCGGUCCUUUAAGUCUGAUGUGAAAGCCCACGGCUCAACCGUGGAGGGUCAUUGGAAACUGGGGGACUUGAGUGCAGGAGAGAAGAGUGGAAUUCCACGUGUAGCGGUGAAAUGCGUAGAGAUGUGGAGGAACACCAGUGGCGAAGGCGACUCUUUGGCCUGUAACUGACGCUGAGGCGCGAAAGCGGUGGGGAGCAAACAGGA
rnacentral:rRNA from 1 species